UGGGGAAUAUUGCACAAUGGGCGCAAGCCUGAUGCAGCCAUGCCGCGUGUGUGAAGAAGGCCUUCGGGUUGUAAAGCACUUUCAGCGAGGAGGAAGGUGGUGAACUUAAUACGUUCAUCAAUUGACGUUACUCGCAGAAGAAGCACCGGCUAACUCCGUGCCAGCAGCCGCGGUAAUACGGAGGGUGCAAGCGUUAAUCGGAAUUACUGGGCGUAAAGCGCACGCAGGCGGUUUGUUAAGUCAGAUGUGAAAUCCCCGGGCUCAACCUGGGAACUGCAUUUGAAACUGGCAAGCUAGAGUCUCGUAGAGGGGGUAGAAUUCCAGGUGUAGCGGUGAAAUGCGUAGAGAUCUGGAGGAAUACCGGUGGCGAAGGCGGCCCCCUGGACGAAGACUGACGCUCAGGUGCGAAAGCGUGGGGAGCAAAACAGGAUUAGAUACCCUGGUAGUCCACGCUGUAAACGAUGUCGAUUUUGGAGGUUGUGCCCUUGAGGCGUGGCUUCCGGAGCUAACGCGUUAAAUCGACCGCCUGGGGAGUACGGCCGCAAGGUUAAAACUU
rnacentral:rRNA from 1 species